AUCAGAACCGCCUCCAGAACCAGGCUCAUUUAUUUAUCAAAAACCAAACCAUCAGUCUGAGCAUGAAGCCUCAACUGCUUCAAACUGUUUCAUCAGUUCACCGAUCAGAUAAAAACAUCUAGAAAAACUGCCAUCGCCCCCUACAGGCCACCUGGUGCACUGAGGUCUGUGGACCAGAACCCGUCGAUGGUUUCGGACCAGAGGAGACAGAACCUUCCAGGCUGCUGAGGCGAUUGUUCUAGGCGCUUCAGGAAGGAUGGAACCCUCCACUCCUGACUCUGAACUUCAUCCCAGAACCUCUACAUUAAGGAGGUGCAGGUUUUUCUCCUGGGGAGACCAAAGGGUCCUGAUCAGGUGGAGCAUCCUCACACCCCUGCUGACCCUCUAUCUGUCAUCGGGUUCGAGCCGCUGUCACUGAUCCAUCACUAAGCAGCACAGCAGACGCACUUACGCCUCCUGCAGGUUGGUUCUGCCCCCUGCUGGU
rnacentral:lncRNA from 1 species